rnacentral:rRNA from 1 species
CCUACGGGAGGCAGCAGUGGGGGAUAUUGCACAAUGGGGGAAACCCUGAUGCAGCGACGCCGCGUGUGGGAAGACGGUCCUCUGGAUUGUAAACCACUGUCCCCAGGGACGAAGAUGACGGUACCUGGGGAGGAAGCUCCGGCUAACUACGUGCCAGCAGCCGCGGUUAUACGUAGGGAGCGAGCGUUGUCCGGAAUUACUGGGUGUAAGGGGAGCGUAGGCGGAACUGCAAGUUGGGUGUCAAACCUACCGGCUCAACCGGGAGCCGCACUCCAAACUGCAGUUCUUGAGUGCAGUAGAGGCAGGCGGAAUUCCUAGUGUAGCGGUGAAAUGCGUAGAUAUUAGGAGGAACACCAGUGGCGAAGGCGGCCUGCUGGGCUUUUACUGACGCUGAGGCUCGAAAGUGUGGGGAGCAAACAGGAUUAGAUACCCCUGUAGUC